UACGUAGGGUGCGAGCGUUAAUCGGAAUUACUGGGCGUAAAGGCGUGCGCAGGCGGUUUUGCAAGCCGGAUGUGAAAUCCCCGGGCUUAACCUCGGGAAUGGCAUUUGGGACUGCAAGGCUGGAGUGCGGCAGAGGAGACUGGAAUUCCUGGUGUAGCAGUGAAAUGCGUAGAUAUCAGGAGGAACACCGGGGGCGGAAAGGCGCCCUGGCCUG
rnacentral:rRNA from 1 species